rnacentral:lncRNA from 1 species
UAGUGGAGGCUUCUAGAGCCAGACAGAAUUGUGUCUCCCUCUGUCCCUGUUCCCUCUUCUGCUCUGAGUCUGCUUCCCUGGCCAGUGGCUGCUGCCUAGGGCCUGCUGAUCACCACCUGCAUCUUGGGGACUCAACUGUUAAUAAUUGCCGGGAACUGAGCUGUAGCGUGUCAGUCCAGGAGCUGGUGACUUAGCAAGUCACCUUACCUCCAGCAAAGUCCCCUAGGUCACAAGACCAGGCUGUACCCAUGCCCCUCACUAUAAUAUAAGCUCCAUGGGGGAAGGGAGCUAUUUGUCUAGUUCAUUGCUGAAUCUUCUGUGGCUGGAACAGUGCCUGGUACAGAGUAGAUGCCCAAUAACUUCUUGUUAAAGAAAUGAAGAUGAUGUCCU